UACGGGGGGGGCAAGCGUUGUUCGGAAUUACUGGGCGUAAAGGGCUCGUAGGCGGCCAACUAAGUCAGACGUGAAAUCCCUCGGCUUAACCGGGGAACUGCGUCUGAUACUGGAUGGCUUGAGUUCGGGAGAGGGAUGCGGAAUUCCAGGUGUAGCGGUGAAAUGCGUAGAUAUCUGGAGGAACACCGGUGGCGAAGGCGGCAUCCUGGACCGACAUUGACGCUGAUGAGCGAAAGCCAGGGGAGCAAACGGG
rnacentral:rRNA from 1 species